AACGAACGCUGGCGGCAUGCCUAACACAUGCAAGUCGAACGAGACCUUCGGGUCUAGUGGCGCACGGGUGCGUAACGCGUGGGAAUCUACCCUUGGGUUCGGAAUAACAGUUAGAAAUGACUGCUAAUACCGGAUGAUGACGUAAGUCCAAAGAUUUAUCGCCCAAGGAUGAGCCCGCGUAAGAUUAGCUUGUUGGUGGGGUAAUGGCCUACCAAGGCGACGAUCUUUAGCUGGUCUGAGAGGAUGAUCAGCCACACUGGGACUGAGACACGGCCCAGACUCCUACGGGAGGCAGCAGUGGGGAAUAUUGGACAAUGGGCGAAAGCCUGAUCCAGUAAUGCCGCGUGAGUGAUGAAGGCCUUAGGGUUGUAAAGCUCUUUUACCAGGGAUGAUAAUGACAGUACCUGGAGAAUAAGCUCCGGCUAACUCCGUGCCAGCAGCCGCUUAA
rnacentral:rRNA from 1 species